CACAAAUAAGCUGCAUUCUGCCUCACACAGUGGCUGGCUGUGGGGAGGCAAGGAAGGGGGAGAAAGAAAGAAGGGGACGAGUGGGGCAGGGAGGUUUCUGUGCCACUUUCGUCUCUGCGAGUGUCAGUCCCAGAUAACGUGCUGCUUCUUUUGAAUUGUAGAGGUGCAGCAGUGACUAUAGAUCCUGUUUGCUUUUUGUAGCCACCUCUUCUGUAUGAAAAUCCUCUCCAUGCUGCAGAAGAAGAAGCGGUGGUGUGUAGUCAACUGGAGUGAAUCUGUACAUUCUCCAGGCCCGGUCUUGUGAGACUUUGUCCCACUGUUGUUCCCACUCAGAGCUGAGCAGAAACCACGCACGUCUGAAUAACGGGGGCCCUUUCUGCCUGUUGUAAUCCUGGAUUGUUACAGUCUAGGGGCCAGCCAUGCUGUCACCGUCACAAAUUGAUUUAACCAUCAAUUGCAGUGGUCAUUAAAGCUGCUAGAAGUCCCAGCCAAGCUGAUGAAUUGCAGCUGAAUGUGAAAUGAGCCUCCAAGACUGUUUCCCACCAUCUCAUAUCAAAGCCUAUUGUGUCUCUCCAAAGUAAAGGGUCGGAGGUUCAGCCUGGAGUUCAACAAUGGGCUCAGUCAGAAGAUAGAGCCCCCUUCACCCCAGCAUUCCCAAUUACAGUUUUCUUUCCAUGCCUUAUUGUGCAGUAUUUGCAUCCAACUAAUACGUUGAAUUAUUGACAUACCCCAGUGUCAAUGGAGCUUUUGAAAGAUUUAUCCCCCAAAUAUAUGGAAUCCCAAGCAUCUGGUGGCUCCCCAGUAUUGACAAUGAAAUGAUUCCCUGGUUUUCCUCCUCUGGCAGCCUAUUCGACUUAUCUGAUCUGAAUGGCUAUCUUUACUCAGCAGAGAUUAGCUGCUUCCAGGCCUCACACACAAAAAGCCCCAAGUCUGCUUCUGGAAGUCUUUUUCCUUCAGAUGUAUUGUUCCCUGCACUUGAUUUGCUACUCAUUUUUAUAUAGCACUUAAAUCUGCUAGACUUGCGCUUAGUGCCUGUUAGUAACAGGAGAAAAAGAAUGAAAAAUUAUCCAAUGUACUCCAAUUCCCCUCUCUUUUUUUUCCUUUUGUCUUUUUUUUUUUUUUUUGUCCUGACAUAUCUGCAUGAUUGAUACAGUCUUCUUGCAUUUUUGGCUUGCUACUAAGCUACACAUGGUACAGGCUACCAGAUGAAAUCGUAUCCCUUGUGCUCGGGGGGAGCAUUUGCACGCUGGGCACACACAAGCUGUUUUCCUGCGCAGACUGUCUUGUCAGAGAGUCCCAUCCCUGUGGGUGAGGUACUCUGGGGUGCAGAAUCUGAAGUAAGACACUGCAACUGUGAUUGCAUAUAUGCAAAGUCUGGGAAGGUUCCUGCUGCACACGUGGGCAGAAAAAGAAGUUAGAAAAGAAGGGUGGAGCAUUCAGUAAAGAGGUCACAGGUCCAGACAAUCCCAAUGUAUUAAUAAUGAGCCAGCAGACAGCUUUAGGUCUGUAUUUGCCCAGGCUGUGUUUACUACAGACUGAGUGUCUCCACUAAAUCUGUGUGGAAAUGCUGUUAGCAGAGGACUAACUGCUACCACUGGCCUGUGUUUCUCUGUGUCUCCCGUGAAGGUCAUAGGGUGCCUGUUCUUGAAAGCUUUGCUAUCUCAACGACAGAAUGAACAGAUGAAUAAAUAUAAUACAUAUACAUAUAAAAGGCUCUUUAAAUCUGGUUGUGUCACAGAAGAGCAGUGCUUUUGUUGACCUCUUUCAUCUUUCUGAACUCUGGACUAUUUCACUCCAUGUAGCAGUGAACUUUCCUUAAUGGAAAAUAAUAUCAUUGCUGCUUUAAUUCUUUUUUGGCCUUACGUGUUCCAAGUGAAGCAUCUGAAAAGUCCAUCAGUCCAUGCUAAUAUCAGAUUGUCUCCACAAAAAGCUAGACUGAAUGAAUAGGAGUUUGAAAAAAUAGAAUGGAAAUCUGUCCAAUUAAUGGCCUGGGUAGUGAUUUCAUGUCUUGUGACAAGUGAGAUUACAAAAAACUCAAAAAACUCAAAUAAACAAAACAAAAGAACAAACAACAACAACAAAAACAAUUCUCCACUGUGACAAGCUUUUCACAAGAAUUUUCACAGGGUUGGGUUUUCUGUUUUGUUUUGUUUUGUGUGUUUUAGGUUUUGUUUGUUUGUUUGUUUGUUUGUUUGUUUUUGAAAAAGCCAAUGACAAAUCGACAAUAAUAUGGCCAACAGAAGACUCACCUGAGUUGGAGACUCCCAGGUUCAAAUUUCCCCUGUAAUUUUUCAUGGCACAGAUCAUCCACCAGAUGAUGUGAAACCACUGUAUGUUGAUGAUUUUAUUUCUUUCAGUCUCUUUUCUGAGUCAACAAAUAUUAAUUGGGUCAGAGGCACAAACCUGAAGCUCUCACAAACUCACUUUCUACUGUAAGCACUAGGCAAGGAAGCCAGGUACAAGACUGGGGAAGCAUCACCCUGCCUGUGCAAGCUGAGUGCCAAUAAUCAGGGAGAGGACAAUGGAAGGUGAAAUUAAAAACUAGCAGCUCCUUGUCAUGCCACUCUCUGUACAUACAGGAAGUAUUCAACUAUCACAGUGCAAAGCCUGAAUAAUAAGAGGAGUAGAGCACAGAUUGUAGUCAAUCCACCUAUUUUAUGCAAACUUCAGUAAUAUGGGAAGGUACAAAUGAGUCUGCUUAUAAAUUCAGAUAUGUUGAAACAAACUUUUCCUCUGAGACUGUUCUUGUUUCUCAGCUGAGCUACUGGACAUAUCCUUCUAUGUGGUUUCUAAUAGAGAUGAAAUCAGUAAUAUUGGAGCUACCAUCAUGUAAUUUUCUCAGUUCAUUUGAACCCUGGAAUGUGAUGGUGGGGGAUCACAUAAACAAUCUUAGCACACUAUUACUGUCUAGCUCCAAGGAAGCAAGUCUGCAUCAAGAUUUUACUUUAAUGGGAAUAAAGUUCCCUUCAGCUCUUCUAUUGAAAUUGUCCUUGCACAAUCUUCUGUGCAAAUCAAACCUAAGAACAAUGUCAUAACUUCCCAAGACUCAAAGCCUGUUUGCUUUCUCAAAGCCUAGAAACCUGUCCAUUGCAUGGUUACUUGCUGAAUUGAGCUCUACGAGGAAGGACCUUGGUGUCUUGGUGGGCAACCAGUUGGCCACAAGCCAGCAAGUAUGACCUUGUCGUCAAGAAGGCCAGUGAUAUCCUGGGGUUCAUUAAAAAGAGAGUAGUCAGCAGGUCAAGAGAGGUGAUCCUCCCCCUCUUGUCUGCCCUGGUGAGGCCACAUCUGGGGUACUGUGUCCAGAUCUGGGCUCCCCAGUUCAAAAAAGACUGGAAACUUCUAGAGAGAGUUCAGCAAAGUGCCGUAAAGAAGAUUUGGGUUCUGGAGCAUCUCCCUUAUAAGGCAGGGCUGAGAGACCUUGGGCUGUUCAUCAUGGAGAAAACUUCAGUGAAGAAUAAAGAUGUUUAUGUUACACAGAGUUAUCUUCCAUUGACAUAAAUCAAUCUUGACCUGGCAAAGUUUGUAUUCAUAGACAUAUCUAAGUAUCUUGCCAGUAUUGGGUUCCCUGGUAGAAUAAGAUACAUUUUACCCUACAGAAUGGGAUCCUCCACAUCCAUUGAUGACACAUUUUAUUUGCAAUAUUCAGCUAUUGCAAUGAACAGAUUAAGCUGCCAUAGAAGGUGAUUUCUUCUUUGAGCACUGGAGUGGAAGGAAUUCUCUCUCCCACAGCUUUAAGUCCUCGGGACCCUAAGCCUCUUCAUCACAGUAAAGUCCAGGACUUCCCAGUGCCUCUGAUGGUACUGCUUCUCAGCACUGAGCCACAGAGAGUGCAGGCAGCCAUCUAGGCACAUCCUGCUUAGCUAACAUGCACACACAGGCAUGUGUUCUCAUGAUGACAGCCCCCAUUUAGGCCCUUCAUUCUCCUGGCUAGGCACUUUCACAAGACAUUAAAAAACCUGAAGACUUCACAUUCAUAUGUGAAGUGUAUUAAAAGGUUCAAGAGUGAUUAGAAGGUAGGCAGCACACAUUUAGUGUAAUCAACUAUGUAUCUUCUGGUCUAAUGAUAAGCAAGGUAAAAACUCAG
ensembl:lncRNA